GACAACCAGUCCAUCAAGCUGAGUACCGCCUGUUCUGAGCCCGACUCCACGACACCUCAGGAGACUGGCAGGCCUGAAUCCAGAGGCGUGGAAGUCCCCAGCCAGAACCUGCGGGCCACUGCAGGAGAGGUACCCCCUGCUGUGAGCCUAUUGUCUAUAGUUCUUAGGAUUGUUUGCUUUUGCUUGUGUGUUGCCUUGAAGUAAGUGUGAAGUAAAACUUAUAUACUCAAAACCAACUCACUGAGUUUGUCAUUCCUCCCAGGUCAAAACCUGGUAAGGGCUCGAGACACCAGGUUACAAGGAUUGCAGCUGGUGCAAAAGGACCCUUUGGUCUCGGGUGACUGAAGCCUACUAGCCUGGAAUUCUAUGGGAUCGCUGCCUGGAUCCAUGCAUCACACUGGAAACCUGCUCCAUCCCAUCCAGAGCCGUCCCCUAGUUGGAGGCUAUUGUGUCUCCCGAAGUUGGACUCCCUUUUGGGCCCAACACUAUCUGGGCAUUUAUGAUUGCCAAGGAUUUGAACCCUGGUCAUCAUGCUUGUGUAACUCCUCCCCAGCCCUGAUUCUCUUAUUUAUUUAUUUGGUUUUUCGAGAUGGUUUCUCUGUGAACCCCUGGCUGUCCUGGAACUCUGUAGUCCAGAUUGGCCUUGAACUCACAGAGGUCCACCUGCCUCUGCCUCUCAAACACUGGGAUUAAAGGUGUAUGCCACCAUGGCUUGGCUCUAUUAUUUUCUAAAUGUGUUUUUUGUUAGAUUGUCUUCCUUGUUUUUCUUUUUCAAGACUAUAGCCUGGCUGGCCUGGAUGCUGAUAGUUUCUGAAGAAAUUUAACACACUACGUAGGUCAGGCUGGCUUUGCACUCACAGAAAUCUGCCUGCCUUUACAUUGAAUGCUGAUAUUAAAGACACUGAUGAACCAACCAGCCUGCCUCCAUGUUAGGCUUGAAGGCUGUCUUAUAGUAAAAACAAACUAGGAUUCUUCCUGUUUGUUAUUAAAGCUGUUUCUCAAGGAUUGAGCCAUUUUAACUACAAAUGGUUCUGUAUUGCCUGUUCCAUAGCAGCUAUGUUUUUGUUUCAAAGUUAUGACCAUCUUGCAACCCUACUUGUUUUAAAAGGUUAUUAUAACCACCUGCUGUUUAGUUCUGCUUCUGGAACCCAUCUAUUUGCCUGCCAAAUCUCCGUUUGGAAACCCCCUACCCUGGAGCUAUUAAAACCUCACCUUCCCAGGUCAAUGCUGACUUAUGAAACCUGCCUGAGGGGAUGGCAGCCCAUCUACAUGAAUAAAAAAGCUUGCUUUAAUUAAUUUGGCCAUGAUAAUUAGUGUUGGUGGUCUUUCUCUCUCUCCUCUUUGGGAUUACCAACACCCAGAAAAUUUUAGCUUACUUUUUUUUAAGUUAGAAUUUCUUAAAU
rnacentral:lncRNA from 1 species